rnacentral:lncRNA from 1 species
UUUUUAUUAUAUUCUUAUUUAUUAUAUUUUAAUUUUAAUAUACAUUUUAAUUAAUUCAUUAAUUUGUGAAUUAUAGAACAGACAUUUGUAUAUUUGGAAGCACCUUGGCAGGACCAGUAAGAGGUUGUCUCAUUCUACCCUUCUAUCCAUCUGAAACCCCCUCCAAUUAAUAUCCUACUGUCAACAAUUUCCUGCAUUAUAAAUAUGACCCAUGGAUCAUCCAUCACAAAUCCAGGAUGUAAGGUCUACCUAUCUCUGCUUUAUUUAGAAAGAGCAUCUGAAAGGAACAUCUUCCGCCUGUGUCAGCAUUUCCCAUUGUUCUGGAGAGGUAAUAGGGAAGCACUAGAGUUUAUCAAGCAGCAACCAUCACUUUGGCAGCUGUGUGGAUGAUGGAUUUGAGAAGGAAGACACUUCAGGAAAUACAAUAUUCCAGGUGAGAAGUGGGGAGAACUUAAACUAGAGUUGAGUGAAGAGAAGGGGUUUAAUGAAAAAGAUUUUGUAGAGAUAGAAUCAAUAAGAUGUGGCAAUUGAUUAAAUGAGAGAGAAAAGGGAGUUAGUUGAGAUUUUUAAUCUGGAUAAUUGGAAGUAUUGCAUUGCCCUUGACAGAAAUAAACAAGUUCAGAAGAAGGAGGGGAGAAAGGUA